GUUGACGAUUGAUUGAAUAGACUACAAUGUACAAUCAAUCGUAAAACCAAGAGUACGAUCAAUCGUUACGCUUUGUGUCACGGAGCCGGGAUAUGUUUUUCAUUUGUGAUUUUUUCGAUAAUCAACCCCCUAGAUCGACGUUAAACAUUUAUCAUCACCUAGAAUGAAUUGAAUGUUGUCUCUAUAUUUCAGGAUAUAUUUUUGUUAAUUUUCUUAGGUUUUUUCCAUCCAAAUAAUUGCAAUUACGAUAUAUACCGUUUUAUUGAUUAUAUUUACAGCAUGCAUGUAUAUAUAAAUGGGGGUUACUUUUAGAAAAUCUGUCACUGUUCGUUGUUUUUAUU